AUUGAACGCUGGCGGCAGGCUUAACACAUGCAAGUCGAGCGGGGUGAUGGUGCUUGCACUAUCACUUAGCGGCGGACGGGUGAGUAAUGCUUAGGAAUCUGCCUAUUAGUGGGGGACAACAUCUCGAAAGGGAUGCUAAUACCGCAUACGUCCUACGGGAGAAAGCAGGGGAUCACUUGUGACCUUGCGCUAAUAGAUGAGCCUAAGUCGGAUUAGCUAGUUGGUGGGGUAAAGGCCUACCAAGGCGACGAUCUGUAGCGGGUCUGAGAGGAUGGUCCGCCACACGGGGACUGGUCAACGGACCAGAGUCCUACGGGAGGCAGCAGUGGGGAAUAUUGGACAAUGGGGGGAACCCUGAUCCAGCCAUGCCGCGUGUGUGAAGAAGGCCUUAUGGUUGUAAAGCACUUUAGGCGAGGAGGAGGCUCUUUUGGUUAAUACCCAAGAUGAGUGGACGUUACUCGCAGAAUAAGCACCGGCUAACUCUGUGCCAGCCGCCGCGGUAAUAC
rnacentral:rRNA from 1 species